rnacentral:rRNA from 1 species
UUUACACAUGCAAGUCGAACGGGCUUAAGGGGCUUGCUCCUUAAGUUAGUGGCGAACGGGUGAGUAACAUAUCGGAACGUAUCCGAUAAUGGGGGAUAACUAAUCGAAAGGUUGGCUAAUACCGCAUACGCCCUACGGGGGAAAGCAGGGGAUCUUCGGACCUUGCGUUAAUGGAACGGCCGAUAUCUGAUUAGCUAGUUGGUGGGGUAAAGGCUCACCAAGGCGACGAUCAGUAGCUGGUCUGAGAGGACGACCAGCCACACUGGAACUGAGACACGGUCUAGACUCCUACGGGAGGCAGCAGUGGGGAAUUUUGGACAAUGGGCGCAAGCCUGAUCCAGCCAUUCCGCGUGAGUGAAGAAGGCCUUCGGGUUGUAAAGCUCUUUCGCAAGGGAAGAAACGUUACGGGUGAAUAGCCCGUGAUAAUGACGGUACCUUGAUAAGAAGCACCGGCUAACUACGUGCCAGCAGCCGCGGUAAUACGUAGGGUGCGAGCGUUAAUCGGAAUUACUGGGCGUAAAGCGUGCGCAGGCGGUUUUGUAAGUCAGAUGUGAAAUCCCCGAGCUCAACUUGGGAACUGCGUUUGAAACUACAAGACUAGAAUAGGUCAGAGGGGGGUAGAAUUCCACGUGUAGCAGUGAAAUGCGUAGAGAUGUGGAGGAAUAUCAAUGGCGAAAGGCAGCCCCCUGGGAUCAUAUUGACGCUCAUGCACGAAAGCGUGGGGAGCAAACAGGAUUAGAUACCCUGGUAGUCCACGCCCUAAACGAUGUCAACUAGUUGUUGGUAGAGUAAAAUCUAUGAGUAACGCAGCUAACGCGUGAAGUGACCGCCUGGGGAGUACGAUCGCAAGAUUAAAACUCAAAUGAAUUGACGGGGUCCCGCACAAGCGUU